CCGUAUUGAAUUAGUAUAAUUUUUGCGGUAAUGAUCAAACAAAAAAUUUUGCUUCAUUUUGCUAGGCUACACUAAACUUAUUGACAGAUGUAUUCAUUAUUUGCUGCUCCUGUUAAAAUUUUCUACACGCCAACACUAUUUGUUAUGUGUACGUGGUUCUUAAGUGCAAGAGACAGCUACAUUUAUGAGCGCCAUAGCAGCUGAAUUGAAUGGUGGCUCAAUAAUGGUACCCGAUGGACUAUCUUUAGCUCUUCUUCCUGAACCACUGUUAUUGUUAUUAAAAAUACAAGACGCUUUAUCACUUGUUCUUUAGCCACAACUAAUUUCCGCGAGAUGAUAAAAGAUGAAUAUAAUAUAAAAGAUAAUUAUAUUUUUAUGAUAAAGUUAUAAAUAAAAUAAAAAACGUUAACAUUGGAGUUUUAUAAUGGAGACAAAAUAACAAUGAUUCCUUUGCGGUGAUAUUUUUUACAGAUCUGAAUGAAUGAAUCGAAAAAAACAUAAUUAUAAUCAUAAAAUAAAAAGAAAUUAACAAUCACAAUUUUCAAGUCUAAACAAAUUCACGAAAAUUUAUAAUUUAAAUUUAUAAAAAUAAUAACAAAAAAAAAAUUUUAAUACAUUAUAUUAUAAAUGUUGAUCUUGUAUAUAGCAUCGAUUUAUUAUAAAAAAAAAAAAAAAAAAAUUCUGACGUUCGUGCACUGAAUGUCUAAAAAAUUGUACCAAAUUUUGAAAGCAUGGAUGCAUGUGUUAUAAAAAAUAUCUGGUUAAUUUUAUUUGUUGAUUAUUUGACACGAUCAGAUAGUUAUUUAUUGCAGCUUACAAAAAAUGUUUCUUUUGUUACAAUAAAUCACUAUUUGGCUGUAAAAGUUAGUAAUGCGUUACUAUAAAUUAAUUGAUUGAAUAUUUUCUUUUUUUUUUUUUUUUCAUAAAUAAUUUACAUGAAUAAAUUGUAUUUACAAUAACUUCAAUUCAACGACGAUCUCCAUGCCAUUGAAUUGAUGAUUUAAUUCAAUAAAUGAAUAUUAAUAUUAAUAAUUAAUUUAAUUAUUUUAAAUGAAAUAAUCAGAUUUUUGUAAAUUA